rnacentral:rRNA from 1 species
AUUGAACGCUGGCGGCAGGCUUAACACAUGCAAGUCGAGCGAGCGGCGGACGGGUGAGUCAUGUCUGGGAAACUGCCUGAUGGAGGGGGAUAACUACUGGAAACGGAAGCUAAUACCGCAUACCAUCAGAUGGUCCCAGAUGGGUUUAGCUAGUGGGUGGUGUAAUGGAUCACCUAGGCGACGAUCCCUAGCUGGUCUGAGAGGAUGACCAGCCACACUGGAACUGAGACACGGUCCCGCCUCCUACGGGAGGCAGCCGUGGGGAAUAUUGCACAAUGGGCGCAAGCCUGAUGCAGCCAUGCCGCGUGUGUGAAGAAGGCCUUCGGGUUGGAAAGCACUUUCAGCGAGGAGGCGUUACUCGCAGAAGAAGCACCGGCUAACUCCGUGCCAGCAGCCGCGGUAAUUC